ACCUUUGCGCAGGGGUCGAGGGAAGGAAAUUGAGUCCAGUCACUAAUGGCCAAUGAUUUUAUCAAUCAGGCCUACGUAAUGAAGCCUCCACUAAAAACCCUAAAGGACGCGUUCAGAGAGAUUCCAGGGAUUUCCUCUCCCUUACUGUGAUAGAGGCUGGAAGCAGGGCUCCUGUCUUUCAACAACAGAGAGGGAAAGGAAGUUGGACAACUAAGCAAAACUUUUCAGUUGCUUUUCCAGGAAAAACAACAACCCUGGGAGUGAAAUAUUGCUGAGGAGGACAGGAUGUCAGCUUUUUGAGAUGCAGUCAUGUCGGAGUACCAACCUCUGUUCAAUUCCUACACCCUCACCUACGGGAGACAAGAAGCCUGAGAUGUGAGAGCUCUGAGGAGAGAUGGGAAGGAAAUACUGGAUUCCCUGGCAAGCUUAAUCCUCAGACAUCCUUCACAAGUACAUUCCAAACAAGCACUGAAUCCUGUCCCUAGACCCACCAUGGGUGAAAGAGAGUGAGACGGCCGCAAAGGUUGAGGUCAAUGUUAACUCAUCCCCUGGGGCCAGGCAAACGGCUGCCUGAACAGAACCAGUGUUCUCUCGGCAUUGCUGGUGAAAAGUGGUGGACUGUGUCUAAAUGCUGGCCCAGAAAUUCUCUAUUUAUAUAUGUUUUGGAAGAAAAAAUAAUUUUGCCUCUAUUUGCCUAAUUUAUGCUGCACAGAGAAGACGAGAGUUUGAGAAAUUCCUAUGGAAGAGAAGGGCAAUGCAGAUGCUCAAGUAAGAGCAAAGCCCUCUCUUCAAGUCUUGGAAAUGACUAGAGAGAAAGGGAACCUGGAGGGAUGUCUCCACAGUCGUCCCCGAAAUAGGAUCCUGCCCAGGCGUCUAAGGUAGCCGCGUGCGCCGAGAGUAGAGCUUCAGAUGGCCCUUCAGCCCACACGAGCUGACCUCUCUCAUCCUUACGGCCAAGUUGUAAAUUAGCUUGUCUUUAAGGUAAAAACUAUAUCUUUUAGUCCCCUUUUCUCUUUGUU